rnacentral:rRNA from 1 species
ACGCGAGGAACCUUACCAAGUCUUGACAUCCCUUGACGAUGCUGGAAACAGCAUUUCUCUUCGGAGCAAGGAGACAGGUGGUGCAUGGUUGUCGUCAGCUCGUGUCGUGAGAUGUUGGGUUAAGUCCCGCAACGAGCGCAACCCUUAUGGUCAGUUACUACGCAAGAGGACUCUGGCCAGACUGCCGUUGACAAAACGGAGGAAGGUGGGGAUGACGUCAAAUCAUCAUGCCCUUUAUGACUUGGGCUAC